rnacentral:rRNA from 1 species
GUGAGUCAUCGAGUCUUUGAACGCACCUUGCGCCCCAUGGUAUUCCGUGGGGCAUGCCUGUUUGAGUGUCACGUGAAACCCUCACUCCUGUCGUUGCCACAAGGCACGACAGGCAGUGGACUUGGACUGGUGCCGUAGUUGGCUCGUCUUGAAAUUCAUUAUGCUGUGCUGUGCGAUUUCGGCCGCCUGGUGUGAUAGCUAUCUACGCCAACUGUGUCGUCGUCCUUUGGUGUGGCUCGAUAUCGUCGACUCUGCUCGACAAUACACCUAACGCUCUGGCCUCAAAUCAGGUAGGACUACCCGCUGAACUUAAGCAUAUCAAUAAGCGGAGG